GUCUGGGUGGCUCAGUUGUAAAGCGCCGGACUUCGGCUCAGAACAUGAUCUCAUGGUUCGUGGGUUCGAGCCCCGCAUCAGACU
rnacentral:tRNA from 1 species